rnacentral:rRNA from 1 species
GACGAACGCUGGCGGUGUGCUUAACACAUGCAAGUCGAGCGAGAAGCCAGGGGCUUGCCCCUGGUGGAGAGCGGCGAACGGGUGAGUAACACGUGGGCAACCUGCCCCAGACUCUGGGAUAACUCCGGGAAACCGGGGCUAAUACCGGAUACUCCCUCGGGAUCACUUGAUCCUGCGGGGAAAGCUCCGGCGGUCUGGGAUGGGCCCGCGGCCUAUCAGCUUGUUGGUGGGGUAAUGGCCCACCAAGGCUUCGACGGGUAGUUGGCGUGAGAGCGUGGCCAACCACACUGGGACUGAGACACGGCCCAGACUCCUACGGGAGGCAGCAGUGGGGAAUAUUGCGCAAUGGGCGAAAGCCUGACGCAGCGACACCGCGUGCGGGAUGAAGGCCUUAGGGUCGUAAACCGCUUUCGGCAGGGACGAAGCGAAAGUGACGGUACCUGCAGAAGAAGGUCCGGCUAACUACGUGCCAGCAGCCGCGGUAAGACGUAGGGACCGAGCGUUGUCCGGAUUCAUUGGGCGUAAAGCGCGCGCAGGCGGCUUCGCAGGUCGGGUGUGAAAACCAGAGGCUCAACCUCUGGCCUGCACCCGAAACCGCGUAGCUAGAGGCAGGUAGGGGAGAUCGGAAUUCCUGGUGUAGCGGUGAAAUGCGCAGAUAUCAGGAGGAACACCGGUGGCGAAGGCGGAUCUCUGGGCCUGUCCUGACGCUGAGGUGCGAAAGCUAGGGGAGCAAACAGGAUUAGAUACCCUGGUAGUCCUAGCCGUAAACGUUGGAUGCUAGGUGUGGGCGGA